CCAUGCGCAGCUACCAUGCAGUCGAGCGGAUGAGAGGAGCUUGCUCCUUGAUUUAGCGGCGGACGGGUGAGUAAUGCCUAGGAAUCUGCCUGGUAGUGGGGGAUAACGUCCGGAAACGGGCGCUAAUACCGCAUACGUCCUACGGGAGAAAGCAGGGGACCUUCGGGCCUUGCGCUAUCAGGUGAGCCUAGGUCGGAUUAGCUAGUUGGUGAGGUAAUGGCUCACCAAGGCGACGAUCCGUAACUGGUCUGAGAGGAUGAUCAGUCACACUGGAACUGAGACACGGUCCAGACUCCUACGGGAGGCAGCAGUGGGGAAUAUUGGACAAUGGGCGAAAGCCUGAUCCAGCCAUGCCGCGUGUGUGAAGAAGGUCUUCGGAUUGUAAAGCACUUUAAGUUGGGAGGAAGGGCAGUAAGCUAAUACCUUGCUGUUUUGACGUUACCGACAGAAUAAGCACCGGCUAACUUCGUGCCAGCAGCCGCGGUAAUACGAAGGGUGCAAGCGUUAAUCGGAAUUACUGGGCGUAAAGCGCGCGUAGGGUGGUUCGUUAAGUUGGAUGUGAAAGCCCCGGGCUCAACCUGGGAACUGCAUCCAAAACUGGCGAGCUAGAGUACGGUAGAGGGUGGUGGAAUUUCCUGUGUAGCGGUGAAAUGCGUAGAUAUAGGAAGGAACACCAGUUGGCGAAGGCGACCACCUGGACUGAUACUGACACUGAGGUGCGAAAGCGUGGGGGAGCAAACAGGAUUAGAAUACCCUGGUAGUCCAUGCCGUAAACGGAUUGUCUACUAGGCCGUUUGGGGCCUUUGAGGGCUUUAGUGGGCGCAGCUACGCGAUUAAGUAGACCGCCUUGGGGGGAGUACGGUCCGCAAGGAACUAAAAACUUCGAGAAUUGAACGAUUCCACUUAGUGGCGGCCGCCCCUGCAGGUCGAACAAUAUGGGGAGAGCCUCCACCGGUUGAAGGCUAGCUGGAUAUUUCUUAGGUUCACUUAAUGGCUGGCUAAUCUGUA
rnacentral:rRNA from 1 species